rnacentral:lncRNA from 1 species
AUUUAAGCCAGGCCAUGAAGGAUAGGCACUUCAUCACAGAUGGAGGUGGAGAAGGGACUGUCCGAAACACAUGAGCGGAGACAUGGCAGCAAAAAGAGCAAGAAAACAAUGACAUGGGGAGAAAAUGACCAGGAGAGGAAGGAGGAGAACCAUGAGAGUGUGCUGCAGGAGGAAGUGACCUCAGGAACCAACAUGUGCCCCAACACGUCAAACUGGCAAAGAUCAAGGAGGAUGUGGUAGGAGGAGCAAGAGUCACAAAGCAUGUGGCCGAGAGGGACACUGUAGGAUGGUGGAGACUGGGGGUGAUUUUUCAGGUAGAGAGAAAGGAGCCAGCAGAGAAGGCGGGAUUCAAGUUUCAAGGGUAAGAGGAAAGGAAAGAAAUGGAUUACUGAUUAAGAGAUUUUGAAGUGCAGAGAAGUAAAG